rnacentral:tRNA from 1 species
CGGGGCGUAGCUCAGGGGUUAGAGCAGUCGGCUCAUAACCGAUUGGUCGCUGGUUCGAACCCAGCCGCCCCGACCA